ACGGGGGGUGCUAGCGUUAUUCGGAAUCAUUGGGCGUAAAGGGCGCGUAGGCGGUCGCUAAAGUCAGAUGUGAAAGCCCUCGGCUUAACCGAGGAAGUGCAUUUGAUACUUAGCGACUUGAGUAUGGGAGAGGGAAGCGGAAUUCCUGGUGUAGCGGUGAAUUGCGUAGAUAUCAGGAGGAACACCGGUGGCGAAGGCGGCUUCCUGGACCAAUACUGACGCUGAGGCGCGAAGGCGUGGGGAGCAAACAG
rnacentral:rRNA from 1 species